CGACGUCUCCUGCCGACCGGCGAUCCCCGGUCCCCACCUGGCAUGGAAACAGAUCGUCAGGCAAGUUCAAGAACCUGUGGGCCCUUGUGUGUAAAUCUAUUCAAUAGAAGAUAUUAAUUUUACUCAAGACAAGAAACUUUGAUUGGUGAAAAAAAAAAAAAAUACAAAUCAUUAAUAGCCGAUUCGCUCUCGAACUUAUACAUACUCUUUCGUGAAAUAUACUGAAGG